AAAAUUUAUAUACUGGAUCUAGGGCUGGAAAAUUUUGCAGUGUUCCAGAUAGCCCUGGAUAUUUGCUUUUGCUGUCUAUUAUGGCUAGCGUGAUCUUUGUCUCAUGGAAUUUUGGUUCUCUCUGUGGACCUACCUAUUCUUCUCUUGCACGUGACCAGCUAGUCUCUAUUCUGCUGGAGGAAAAGAGUUUGGAGCGAAUUUGACAGGUUCAGCCAAAUGCCUUCAUCUCUGAUGAGCACAGCCGUUUGAACCACACCUCCUCCUGGGUGGCUGCCAGCUUACGGAUGAGUUCUCCUGGGAUUAGGUUCCAAUCCCACAGCCAGUCAAUGAUCAGACCCUUGGAUCAGCUACUGUGGCUUCCCUGCCAAGCACUGGGGAAUAGGGCUGAGGAAACAGUUUGAGCUAAAGGUACCAGAUGCUGAUUCAGAUGAAUCUGAAGUGGCCCCAGCUACCAAGCACUUCAUAAUGUGGCUAAAAUGAAACUGGAAACAGUUUCACAAUGGAUAGUAGACCCUAAUAAAAGCACUCUGUAAGAUGGGACCUAAAAGCUUGCUGUGUAUGUGCAUUUGGGUUGCUAAGAUACUUUCUUCGUUUCUGGCGGUGUCACCAGGGAGAGGACAAGAAUCCAAACUGAGCUGGAGCGCAUUUGAUCAGAGCCGGCUGUGAUUUUUUGCGGCUGCCUGGAUUACUGGGACUGAGGUUCACCAGACAGACAGAUGCUAGUCAGUGCGGUAAGUAAAUAUGAACCCGAGGUGGGCAAGUGAUCACCAGCUCGGUUACUGAGGACUCUGUUGCUUGUCUUUUGAUGUCUGAAGGUUUAGUAACCAUCCUUCAAUCUGCACCACUUGGAAUUAACUGAAGCUAUCAUCGACCACUGAAAUAUUGUAUUUGAAAUAAGAACCUGACUGUAUGCAGUGUAAAUAGGAGUGUUUGAGAGGAUGAGGACUUGAUAUCAUGAGAAAAAAUUGCAUUGGGAAGGAAAGAUACACAUUUGUCCUAGGAUGAUAUAGUACCAGAGUCAUUUUCUUCCUAAUUUCUUUUUACUGUGGUAAACUACACAUAACAUAAAAUUUACCAUCACGACCAUUUUUAAGUGUAUGGUUUAGUGGUAUUAAGUACAUUCACAUUCUUCUGCAAACAUCACAACCAUCCAUCUCUGGAACUCUUUUCAUCUUCAAAACUGAAACUCUAACUUUUAAAAAAUAACUCCCCAGUCCUCCCUCCCUCUGGUCGCUGGCAACCACUCCUCUGCUUUCUGUCUCUAUGAGUUUGACUACUCUAGGUGAGUGGAAUCAUACAGUAUUUGUCUUUUUGUGAUCAGCUUAUUUCACUUGGCAUAAUGUCCUAAAG
rnacentral:lncRNA from 1 species